ensembl:lncRNA
UGGUAACAAGUUUCAGGAUACUGAUUUCAGUAAAACAUCUGGGUAACAAAACAGGUUUAUUCUGACUUAAUGACUAAAUCUCCUCUGUCAUGAUUUCAUUUGUCAAAACUUUUUUUACUUUUAAAUAUUUAAGUACAUUGGUAACAUUUUUACUUUCACUCACAUAUGCAUCUGGCUAGAUAGUUUGACCUUUUUUCUCAGAAUCCAUACUUUCACUUGAGCAGCAAAAUUAUUUAAAUAUAAAUUUUACACCGCUGAGGGCACUGAUGGUGUUUCAUUUGUCUAUGAAUUACGAUUCAACUGGAAGACUGCCCCACAGAGAACUGCUUUUCUUGUCUCAGAUUUUGUUUUGUUUUUAAUUCAGGCACCAGGAGAAAAGAGUGUUCUUGAUAAAGGAGAUAUCUGACUCCAGUCUCACUGUGAGCCACUAUGACAUCUCAUAAAAGUGUGUUUAUUAGAUUCUGCAUUUAUCAUUACAAGUGCUUUGCAUGAGUGUGAAGCUCAUAUGAAUGAUAAAGUUAUUCGGCCAAAGGCUUUACAGUAACAGUUGUUACUCCUCCUGUCCUGUGAAGGGUGCUAGAGUCACUUCAGUUAGCACAGCAACAUUAUGUGCUGCUGGGGGUUUGAUUUGGAAGGGGGAACUUUCACGCGCUCGUCUCUGUGCUGUUAUCGGUACCUGUAUUGUCUGUAUAUAUUGUUUAAAAUACAGAGACCUGAAGUAAAGUAGUAAAAUGACUGAACUGGAUCGUCUGAACACUUUCAUGACCGAGCGCUUGAUGGCUGCUGUGAAGGAGAUCAUCUUCACGGUCGGUAGAACGGUUCGGGAGUAUGAGGAGGAAACGGAGCGAAUCCGGAGCGAAAACAAGCGACUGAAAGAAAUGUUACGAGACUCCGGGUGCUUCAGGGAGCAAGCUAAUGCUGCUCCUGUGCAGUCCUAUCAGCCCGUCUCUCCUGGGCAGCCCGGAUGGAUCUGCAGCCAGAAUGAGGAGCUAGAACCCAUUGAAGAGAUCCAGCAGGACCAAAGCCAGAGGCUCGGCGAGCAACACCCGUUCAUAAAACCGGAAAAGCCUGAGUACUCUGUCGAUGCUUACAGGGAAUCCAUAGCUUUGCCAUCAAAAGCCACCAAUGAUGAGGGCUCACACAUGUGCGCUGAUCACACCAACACAAAUCCUGUUGAGGAUGAAAUGACAAACUGUCAUUUCUCAUCUAAAAUCAAAGUUGAAUUCAUGAACUCCAGCUUGUGUUCAGGCGAUGCAAUGGGAAGCACUGAAGAUGCAUAUCAGAGCUGGUCGCCACACAGCCCAGAUUUGCCUUUAGGGACAUCGGACAUCUACAGAGCACAGCACCCAAACCAGCCAACAUAUGCUAACAGCGAAGCACCUGCCACAGUGUCUCAGCAUAGCAGUUCAUCUCAUGAUGCCAAUCACGUUUCAUAUCACAACAUAUUAUGUACAAACAGGGCUUACUGUAGCAGUAAAUGCUGUGAAAUGCAAAAGAGGACAAUAGCAAAAUCAAGCCCUGUGUGGAAGUAUUUCUCUCUAAAAGAGGGGGACUGUAGCAAAGCAGUGUGCCUUAUGUGUAGGGCCGUCAUAUCUCGUGGUCGCAAAGAAUACACAACAUCGGCCCUUCUAAAGCACCUUCGGAUGAAACAUGGUAAAUGUUGAUGUUAUCAUUUGUUCUCUGAUUUUAUAUAUAUAUAUGUAUGUAUAUGUGCUGUAGUACGGUAUUUUCUGUUCAACUACUUCUAUGGUGCUGAAAUAACAGGAUAAAUAUGAGGAAAGCCAGACAUUAUCUUUGUGUUAUUCCUGCAGGAAAUGCGCUAAUCUUUGGCAGUGCUAAGAAGAGACGAAUGAAAGAGAUUACGAGAAAGACUGUGUGAAAACCACUAAAACACUCUCAGCCAGUGUGGACACUGGCCUUUGUGCAUCAUGGCCAACCUUUGAGUGUUUUCAAACAAAUUGAAAAAUCUACAUCAUACAGAGUGGGUUGAGAUAGGGCAGUCAGAAAUUUAUGCAUACAAUAAUCAUCCAAGCUUUUUGAUUAUGGUUACAGACGAAGAGUAGAAUUGUACUGUUUGGAAAAAAACAUCACAAUCUUUAGCUUGUAAGUGACUGGGGAAAGAAUUUCAUCAUUGUAUUGUCUAAAAAAAUAACAGGAUGUAAAAACUAGCUAGGGCACGAACAAUAUCAGAGAAAACUGUAAUAAAAAGAGAUUUAAUCAUUUUACA